rnacentral:rRNA from 1 species
UACGGAGGGGGCUAGCGUUGCUCGGAAUUACUGGGCGUAAAGCGCACGUAGGCGGCUUUGUAAGUUAGAGGUGAAAGCCCGGGGCUCAACUCCGGAAUUGCCUUUAAGACUGCAUCGCUAGAAUUGUGGAGAGGUAAGUGGAAUUCCGAGUGUAGAGGUGAAAUUCGUAGAUAUUCGGAAGAACACCAGUGGCGAAGGCGACUUACUGGACACAUAUUGACGCUGAGGUGCGAAAGCGUGGGGAGCAAACAGG